UUCCCCCCAAAUACAUACAUGACAUAUGAGAAACAAUUUGAUCCCAUUAAUUCAUCAACAUGAGAAAAAGGUAAAAAAUAUACCUUUUUUCUUAAGUCAUAUUCACCUCAAUUAUCAAAUACCUUAGAACUAACAUCACAUCCUAUCUCUAGAAAUAGAAAAUCUCAUUGGGAAAAUAGGGAAAAACAUAAAAUAGGGGAAAAAAGAGGAG
rnacentral:lncRNA from 1 species